AUAAAGGACUUUUUAAAGUCUAUAUACUCACUGUAUCAGGUUAUU
rfam:Tinamus guttatus contig48666, whole genome shotgun sequence.